rnacentral:rRNA from 1 species
UACGAGGGGGGCAAGCGUUGUCCGGAAUCAUUGGGCGUAAAGAGCGUGUAGGCGGUCCGAUAAGUCCGCUCUGAAAGCCCGGGGCUCAACCCCGGGAGGCGGGCGGAUACUGUCGGGCUAGAGUCCGGAAGAGGCAAGUGGAAUUCCUGGUGUAGCGGUGAAAUGCGCAGAUAUCAGGAGGAACACCGAUGGCGAAGGCAGCUUGCUGGGACGGUACUGACGCUGAGACGCGAAAGCGUGGGGAGCAAACAGG